AUGCUACUUCCUAAGUCCGAAAUUACUUGUCACAAAAAUGGAUACAGAUAAAUGUAUGUAGAACUAAAAUACAUCUAGAUACAUUCAUUUCUAUGAUAAGUAUUUUCGAACGGAGGAAGUAUAUA
rfam:Hordeum vulgare subsp. vulgare, WGS project CAJW01000000 data, contig: morex_contig_66886